rnacentral:piRNA from 1 species
AGAGAAUGCACAAACACUCGAGGUGG